CACGCCGUAAACGAUGAAUGCCAGUCGUCGGGCAGCAUGCUGUUCGGUGACACACCUAACGGAUUAAGCAUUCCGCCUGGGGAGUACGGUCGCAAGAUUAAAACUCAAAGGAAUUGACGG
rnacentral:rRNA from 1 species